CCAUCUUAUUUUUUUAAAAAGGAUUAUGGACAACUUUAAUUCCAAAGUGCUUCCCUUUAUUUUUAUCAAAACCCUAGCCCCCUAGGCCCCCAACAGUCCAACACACCUCAUUUUGCCUCCACAGUUUUCUUCAAUUACUUUCUUCAUCCUUGCACUGUCAUCUCUGUCUUCCUUCGCACCUGUUUUUUUUCUUUCCGUUUCUUCAGAUCUAGCUUUCAAAGUCUCCCUCAUGAACCUCAGAUCGUCAUUUAAGAUCAUCAUCAAUUGUUAAUCACAUGCAAAAUUUUGUUCGCAUUUUCUUCAUCUCGUGUGUUUGAAAUUCGGACAUUAGGCGAAAAUCUGUUGAAAGGGUUUCGACAACAACGAAGGAUGUUAAUGGGUUAGGAAUCAGAUCUUACAUAAUGGGUUGCAAAUGCAAGUUAAUGGUUUUCUUAUGGGGAUUAAUCCUCGUAUAAUUAGGAACAAACAAACUUCAAGAUAUCUGAAAGUUUAAGUUGUUUCCGGGUCGUAGCGAAGAUGGUGAUUUCGGAUGUUGGUCGUUUAGUGUGUGCCAUAAGGGUUCUUAUUUUAUAAUUAAAUUGUUCUUUGAAAUUGUAUACUCUAACAAUCUAACUUAUAAUCAUUUAUGUUAAUUUUUGUAAGUUUGUAAUAUUUUGAUGAUUUUAAUUUCAAAGUGUUAUAAUUGUAAUUUCAAAGUGUUAAAUUAAAUGUUAAUGAUAGAAGUGAUAACUCCA